GGAAGACGACGAGCUACACCUCCACGUGGUGUCUUCCGGGCAACGUUAGGGCUUCUGGGUCCUAACGGCAAAGACAGCUCUA
rnacentral:ribozyme from 1 species